UGUGAAAGCGAAUGUGCACUGAGCCCAGCAU
rnacentral:piRNA from 1 species